rnacentral:rRNA from 1 species
CUACGGAGGGGGCUAGCGUUGUUCGGAAUUACUGGGCGUAAAGCGUACGUAGGCGGACUGAUCAGUUGGGGGUGAAAUCCCAGGGCUUAACCCUGGAACUGCCUUCAAUACUGUCAGUCUUGAGAUUGGAAGAGGUGAGUGGAAUUCCUAGUGUAGAGGUGAAAUUCAUAGAUAUUAGGAGGAACACCAGUGGCGAAGGCGGCUCACUGGUCCAAUACUGACGCUGAGGGACGAAAGCGUGGGGAGCGAACAGGAUUAGAAACCCUUGUAGUCC